UACAGAGGUCCCAAGCGUUGUUCGGAUUCACUGGGCGUAAAGGGUGCGUAGGUGGUGGGGUAAGUCGGAUGUGAAAUCUCCGGGCUCAACCCGGAAAUGGCAUUGGAAACUACCUUGCUGGAGGAUUUGAGGGGGGAUUGGGAUACUUGGUGUAGCAGUGAAAUGCGUAGAUAUCAAGUGGAACACCAGUGGCGAAGGCGAAUCCCUGGAAAAUACCUGACACUGAGGCACGAAAGCUAGGGGAGCAAACAGG
rnacentral:rRNA from 1 species